rnacentral:rRNA from 1 species
UAACGCGUGAGGAACCUGCCUUUCAGAGGGGGACAACAGCUGGAGACGGCUGCUAAUACCGCAUAACAUAUAGGUAUCGCAUGGUGCCUAUAUCAAAGAUUUAUCGCUGAAAGAUGGCCUCGCGUCUGAUUAGCUAGUUGGUAGGGUAACGGCCUACCAAGGCGACGAUCAGUAGCCGGACUGAGAGGUUGGCCGGCCACAUUGGGACUGAGAUACGGCCCAGACUCCUACGGAAGGCAGCAG